rnacentral:lncRNA from 1 species
UAUGUGAGACCUUUAAUUCAUGGAUCUUAGUCCCUAGACAUAAAUCUAUCAUUACUAUGUUGGAGGAAAUUAGGAGAAAAAUCAUGACUAGAACUGUGGAUAUGAUUAAGUUUGCCAAUACUUGGAUAUAUGAUAUUGCACCUAUGGCUAGACUUAUAUUGGAGAAGAAUAAUGAUAGGGCUAGGGCUUGCAAGCUGCUUUGGAAUGUUGAUAUUGGAUUUGAGGUUGGAGAAGGGGAGUAUAGGCAUAUUAUGAACUUGACUAAUAGGUUAUGUAGUUGUAGAACUUGGCAGUUGAGAGGCAUUCCUCGCCAACAUACCAUUUGUGCUUUGUGUUAUGUUGAAAAAGAUCCUGAACCUUAUGUUGAACAUUGGUAUAAGAAGGAAAUCUUCAUGAAGGCUUAUAAUCACUUUAUUCAACCAAUCUUUAAUAUAAAAAUGUGGCUUGAGACAAAUAAUCCAAAAAUUGAGCCCCCUGAACCUAAAAAAAAUGCCUGGCAGACCUGCAAAAAAUAGAAAGAGAGGCAAAGGGGAACCGGUAAAGAAAUCUGGAAAGAUUUCCAAAAAAAGGUGGGACAAUAACAUGCUCCAAGUGGAAUCAACAAGGCUAUAAUAGAAGAUUUUGCAAGGUAAAACAGUCACUUUUAUUUGAUUUUAGAAGUUUAUUUUUUAUGUUGAUUUUAUAACUUAUUAACUGGUGUUCUAUGAUUUUAUAGAUUCCUGAUCCCAAUGCACAAACACAUAGCCAAGGAUUUCAGUUUACUGGUCAAAGUUUACAAGGAAGCUGCCAGCCUUAAUGCUCAAGCCAACCUUCACCUUUAACCUCAAAAAAAUCAGCAUCAUGUAGCUCAAGUCAACCUGGACCUUCAACCUCAAAGAAAUCAGCAUCAUGUAGCUCAAGUCAACCUGCUUCUUCAACUACAAUUUAUGGUGAUACAAGCAGAGUUAGAAGCUUGAAAGAAGCUACAAAAUCUACCUUUUGUGGUGAUAUAAGAAUUCCUGUUAGAAAAGGAAUCAAGAGUCAAUUACCUCCUAGAAGUAGAGCAACCAUUGGGCAGAAGAGGGGAAGAGUUGGAACCACAAAGGAUGUUGAUUAAGGUGGAUCAAAAAGGUUAAAGAAUGCUGGAUUUGGGAUCUACACUAGUGCAAGGGGAACCCAAAUACUGAAUGUAAGUUAACUUAUAUUAUUUCUUUAAAAAUAAAGGGCAUAUAUAUAAUGUUUAUUGAUCCUUCAUUUUUGUUCAACAAAUAGCCUGGGACAUCAAGUCAAAGGAUCCUACAAAGUGGUACAUCUUACAAGGAUGCAAGUUCUACAGGGGUUAAUGUUGGUUAUAGGCCUAGAGGCUUGAAAUGAUAAAAUAAAUAUGCUGUCACCACUAAUCAAUUGCAGUAUAUGACCAACAAAAAGAAGAAGCAUUUUAGUCUGAUGGUGUAUUGUGAUUCUAUUGUGUAAUGUGCAGUACCAAACGAUCAAUUUAGUUUUUGAAGUAAAAAUUCUGGUUCUUUAGUUUUUGAAACCUGAAAAUUCAGGUUCUUUAAGUAGUAUCAUGCAAACUGUGAGCUCCAAUAUGGAGCAUGUUUGUUGGAUUAUUAAUUAGUGUUAACUGAAGCUCAAUAUGGAGCAUAUUUAUUAACUUCUUGUUGGUGUUUCUUUGAGCUCAAUAUGGAACAUAUUUAUGAACUUGUUAGUGUUUCUUUGAGCUUAAUUUGGAGCGUAUUGAUGAAGAUUAAGUUUGCCAAUACUUGGAUAUAUGAUAUUGCACCUAUGGCUAGACUUAUAUUGGAGAAGAAUAAUGAUAGGGCUAGGGCUUGCAAGCUGCUUUGGAAUGUUGAUAUUGGAUUUGAGGUUGGAGAAGGGGAGUAUAG